CGAACGAUUAAACGCUCUCUUCGGAGAGUGUAUAGAGUGGCGCACGGGUGAGUAACACGUAAGUAAUCUACCCUCGAGUGGGGAAUAACACCGGAAACGGUUGCUAAUACCGCAUAAUGCAGCGGCACCGCAAGGUGACAGUUGUUAAAGAUUUAUCGCUUGAGGAGGAGCUUGCGGCAGAUUAGCUAGUUGGUAGGGUAACGGCUUACCAAGGCUACGAUCUGUAACCGGUCUAAGAGGACGGUCGGUCACACUGACACUGAAUAACGGGUCAGACUCCUACGGGAGGCAGCAGUCGGAAUUUUGGGCAAUGGGCGAAAGCCUGACCCAGCAACGCCGCGUGAAGGAUGAAGUAUUUCGGUAUGUAAACUUCGAAAGAAUAGGAAGAAUUAAUGACGGUACUAUUUAUAAGGUCCGGCUAACUACGUG
rnacentral:rRNA from 1 species